rnacentral:rRNA from 1 species
GUGUCAGCAGCCGCGGUAAUACGUAGGUGGCAAGCGAUACUCGGAAUCACUAGGCGUAAAGCGCAGGUAGGCGGUUUGGUAAGUCUUUUGUGAAAGCUCCCGGCUCAACUGGGAGAGGUCAAGGGAAACUACCGGACUAGAGUGUGGUAGGGGAUACUGGAAUUCCUGGUGUAGCGGUGAAAUGCGUAGAUAUCAGGAGGAAUACCUAUGGCGAAAGCAGGUAUCUGGGCCAUCACUGACGCUGAGCUGCGAAAGCUAGGGGAGCAAACAGGAUUAGAAACCCCCGUAGUCC